rnacentral:lncRNA from 1 species
GGGGGUACCGGUACAGAGUCAAUGUGGAGACUAUAUACAGGGGGUACCGGUACAGAGUCAAUGUGGAGGCUAUAUACAGGGGGUACCAGUACAGAGUCAAUGUGGAGGCUAUAUACAGGGGGUACCAGUACAGAGUCAAUGUGGAGGCUAUAUACAGGGGGUACCGGUACAGAGUCAAUGUGGAGGCUAUAUACAGGGGGGUACCAGUACAGAGUCAAUGUGGAGGCUAUAUACAGGGGGUACCAGUACAGAGUCAAUGUGGAGGCUAUAUACAGGGGGGUACCAUACAGAGUCAAUGUGGAGGCUAUAUACAGGGUGUUACGGUACAGAGUCAAUGUGGAG